rnacentral:misc_RNA from 1 species
GCAAACUUGGUCAUUUAGAGGAAGUAAAAGUCGUAACAAGGUUUCCGUAGGUGAACCUGCGGAAGGAUCAUUAUUGAAUAAAUAAACUUGGUUUAGACUGUUGCUGGCUCUUUUGGAGUAAGUGCACGUCUAUUCCGAUUUUAUAUAACCACCUGUGCACUUAUUGUAAAUCUGAAAUAACACUCGAGUACAAAACUCGGUUUAAUGAAUUGUCGUUUUCAUAUCGACUAUUCUUUCCAUUUCAGCAUUUAUGUUUUAAAUAUACUCCUCUAAAAAGUAUAGAAUGUACCCCUAGGCUUAAAUUGCCUAUAAACAUAUAUAUACAACUUUCAACAACGGAUCUCUUGGCUCUCGCAUCGAUAAGAACGCAGC